GCCUGGGUAGCUCAGCGGUAGAGCGUCGCCCUGAAGAGGCGAGCGUCAGGUGUUCAACUCACCUCCCAGGCA
rnacentral:tRNA from 1 species